CACGGUGGGCACCAGCUCGGCCAGAUCCACCGAGUCCCUGGUGUCGAGGGACAGCGUGCGGCGGUGGUGGCGGUGGUGGCGCGUCAGGUAAGGAAGCUGAGGCUCAAAGAAAAGUAGUCAUUUGCUCAUGGUCACACAACUUAGAGGUGAGGAAGCAAGGCAGAGACUGCUCGGAGCAAGAAAGGCUUGUCCCACACGGCCCGGUGAUGCCAGGAAGGACCAGACCAUGGGCCCCAUCCUAACCAACAGGGGUUCCUAACCCGGGGAAGAGAAGCAGAUGGGAAAACUGAGGCUCAGAAGUUAAUGAGGACCUAGGCUACAAACUCCUACCUGCCUGAUUGUAAGGACCACCCCUGCAAAAGAAUAGAGGAAGCAGGACCCAGAAUCCCAGAUCUUGGGGGCUUCAAAUCUCAGGGAUGGAGAUGUCUAGUCCUU